CCCCGGCAAACAAUUCGGGUCAGUUUGUAGGUGAGGGAUCUUACUUAUUACCGAUAUGUGCAGUGCCGUGGAAAAACAAAAAUUGCUUCAAAAAAGCUGUGUGUGUGGCUGAUACUCCAGCAUCUUCCCAAUAUGUGUGUAAACAACGCCAAGAGUAUUACUGUUUUGUGAUCAUCAUAUUUCAUUCGAAUUGCACAUUACCGGGCAGAAAAAGCUUCAAGCAACCAAUUUUGUACAGCAUCCGCACGCUGUAUGAAGGUGUAAAACAAAUUUUCAUCUGUAAGAUGCUCUUCAAACCUGUCCAGUGACUCUUCGUUGCUUAUAUAUUGCAUCGGGAUGGUUUGAGCAUUGCGUCGCACGCCUUUCAUCGGGUGUAUUGUGGCCACUACCGCAGCCGUUUGGGCAGUUCGGGCAUCCAGUUUUAAUAAUGAACAUUGUGAACAAAAAUCGUGCCCAGGACAAGUUCUUUUUGCUUGAAUUAACUCUGUGUUCUUAUUUACAUGAAUAGAUACGGUGGACGGAUGAAUGAUGCUUGCUGACGACUGCUCUUCGUGAAAUGUUGAUCCCGGUGAUGAAACACACGGUUCCGGUGUGAUGCUUGGUGACGGCUGACGGAAUCCUUGAUGCAC